GGCCAUACACCGGGAUGGCCUUCAAAAGGAAUAACUAGAUUGGGGUGACUGAGUAGCAUUAAGUCACUGUCUGUUUCUCAAUUUCUGUUCUCCAUUUGUGAAAUGGGGAAAUAAUAUAGGUGAAGAACAAAAGGCAAGAGUUCCAGCACUGAAGCGGAAAGAAAUAAUGGUGGCGGCCAGGAGGCUGAGGGCCAGCAAGCAAAGGACCGCUGGCUGGAAAAGGGUGACAUAUGUGCAUCAACAGAAUCAAAGGACUGUAAUCUAACAACACUAACACCCAUUGCCUUCUGUUAUGUUCCUCUGCAAAAAUAAUAAUAAAGAAGUUGUGUCCAGCCUCCGAAAUAUCACUGUCUGCAGAAGCCCUAAUGUUCUAUAUAGGCACUGACCUUGAAGAGACAAGAGAGGUUGAUAAUAGUCUCGAAGCUGGAACCCCACAGCUCUGUGCCCAGAUACAGGGUAAGGCCUAUAAUGAGUGUUAUUUUUUGGCCUUGGGUGCACAGCAUGUGAAGAUGCUGCCAGUUGAGCACUUGCACCUGCUUCUACUGCUGUUAUAAGCACAUUGUCAAGCGUGUGAUCUCAGAAUUAGAAAAACGAUGGAAAUCCUCUCCUAUAAGUUCACAUUUCUAUAAUGAAUUAUAGCUAAUAAACUUUGACAUUACACAGCGGAAGAAAUGGAAUGAUUCUUGAUCUUUUGCAACACUAAUUGUACUGGUUUCAGAUUUCACUGUCCUGCCUACUAGAAUUUAAUCUUUUAU